GGUUAAGUGACUAAGCGUACACGGUGGAUGCCCUGGCAGUCAGAGGCGAUGAAGGACGUGCUAAUCUGCGAUAAGCGUCGGUAAGGUGAUAUGAACCGUUAUAACCGGCGAUUUCCGAAUGGGGAAACCCAGUGUGAUUCG
rnacentral:rRNA from 1 species